rnacentral:miRNA from 1 species
UACCCGUAGCCACAUAGUUCGCA